AUGUGUGUUUUUAGUUGGGACACUGAUUAAAAGUACAGGCGAGGAGAGCUAUCAUAGAAGAUUAGGGUCAGAAGAGAUCACAAUAGGUCAUCUAGUCCAACUCCCUGUUCAAAGCAGGACCAACCUCAACUAUAUCAUCCCAGCCAGGGCUUUGUGAACCCGGACCUUAAAAACCUCUAAAAAUUAGAU